rnacentral:rRNA from 1 species
UACGUAGGGUGCAAGCGUUGUCCGGAAUUAUUGGGCGUAAAGAGCUCGUAGGCGGUUUGUCGCGUCUGCUGUGAAAACCUAGGGCUUAACCCCGGGCCUGCAGUGGGUACGGGCAGACUAGAGUGCGGUAGGGGAGACUGGAAUUCCUGGUGUAGCGGUGAAAUGCGCAGAUAUCAGGAGGAACACCGGUGGCGAAGGCGGGUCUCUGGGCCGUAACUGACGCUGAGGAGCGAAAGCGUGGGGAGCAAACAGG